rnacentral:pre_miRNA from 1 species
CUUCAGCGCUGAAUCGGCAGAAGGGAGGUAGAAAUCCUAUUGUUUCUACCUCCUUACCUGCCGAUUCAGCCCUGAAU